UAAUACAGAGGGUGCAAGCGUUAAUCGGAAUUACUGGGCGUAAAGCGAGCGUAGUCGGUUAUUUAAGUCGGGUGUGAAAGCCCCGGGCUCAACCUGGGAAUUGCAUUCGAUACUGGAUAGCUAGAGUUCGGCAGAGGGAAGCGGAAUUUCCGGUGUAGCGGUGAAAUGCGUAGAUAUCGGAAGGAACAUCAGUGGCGAAAGCGGCUUCCUGGACCAGAACUGACGAUCAGGCUCGAAAGCGUGGGGAGCAAACAGGAUUAGAUACCCUGGUAGUCCACGCCAUAAACGAUGACAACUAGACGUUGGGCGGGUAAGCCGCACAGUGUCGCAGCUAACGCGUUAAGUUGUCCGCCUGGGGAGUACGGCCGCAAGGUUG
rnacentral:rRNA from 1 species